rnacentral:siRNA from 1 species
ACUGCUCCAAAACUAGUUGCUGU